rnacentral:rRNA from 1 species
AAUUCCGUGCCAGCAGCCGCGGUAAUACGGAAGGUGCAAGCGUUAAUCGGAAUUACUGGGCGUAAAGCGCGCGUAGGUGGUUUGUUAAGUUGGAUGUGAAAGCCCUGGGCUCAACCUAGGAACUGCAUCCAAAACUAACUCACUAGAGUACGAUAGAGGGAGGUAGAAUUCAUAGUGUAGCGGUGGAAUGCGUAGAUAUUAUGAAGAAUACCAGUGGCGAAGGCGGCCUCCUGGAUCUGUACUGACACUGAGGUGCGAAAGCGUGGGUAGCGAACAGGAUUAGAUACCCUGGUAGUCCACGCCGUAAACGAUGACAACUAGCUGUUGGGAGACAAAGUCUUUCAGUGGCGCAGCUAACGCUUUAAGUUGUCCGCCUGGGGAGUACGGCCGCAAGGCUAAAACUCAAAUGAAUUGACGGGGACCCGCACAAGCGGUGGAGCAUGUGGUUUAAUUCGAUGCAACGCGAAAAACCUUACCUACUCUUGACAUACUUGGGAGCUCUUGUAAUGAGAGUGUGCCUUAUGGAACCAAGAUACAGGUGCUGCAUGGCUGUCGUCAGCUCGUGUCGUGAGAUGUUCCGUUAAGUCGGAUAACGAGCGCAACCCUUACCCUUAUUUGCCAGCGAUUCGGUCGGGAACUAUAAGGGGACUGCCGGUGAUAAACCGGAGGAAGGUGAGGACGACGUCAAGUCAUCAUGGCCCUUACGAGUAGGGCUACACACGUGCUACAAUGGGAAAUACAGACGGACGCUAAGCCGCGAGGUGGUGCUAAUCCUAGAAAGUUUCUCGUAGUCCGGAUUGGAGUCUGCAACUCGACUCCAUGAAGUCGGAAUCGCUAGUAAUCGCGGAUCAGCAUGCCGCGGUGAAUACGUUCUCGGGUCUUGUACACACCGCCCGUCACACCAUGGAAGUGGAUUGCACCAGAAGUAGAUAGUCUAACCUUAGGGAGGGCGUUUACCACGGUGUGCUUCAUGACUGGGGUG